GCGUCCGGGGAGAGGCGAAAUAGCCCAAGUCCCGGGGUGGAUGGUGCCCCUUAGCUGUGGCUGUCAUCCGGUUUCCACGUGACAGUCACCAGAGCGCUGGUGGGAAGCUCCCGCGCGGGGCCGGGGGUCACGGUGGGGGCUUCCGGCUCUGUGCGGACAGAGUGCUGGGCGCCGGGAGGGGACACGCCGCGCUGGACUAUGGAACCAGACUCGCCACCUUUGGGUAGAUCAAGCAAGGAACCUUCCACUGCUGAAGUUCUUAAGCUCACAGAGAGGUUGCCUGACUUGGUUUUACAUAGCCAGUGAGUAGCAGAGAGGGAUUCAGACCUAGCCGUUUAGCUCUGAAGCUGAGUUCUUCAGCAGACACUGUGUGGGCUCUGGCUGGAACUGUUCUUCAGCUAAUUACCUAGCCCCAGAACAGCAGCUUCCUAUUUCUCCAGCUAAGAAUUCUACUUUUUUGGGUUCCUUUUUCCAUCAUAGAGAGCUCUGCUCUGCUUCUGCUUUGAUUAGUUCAGAAAUGAAAUGCAGCAAACAUUUAUUGAAUGAUGCAGGGAGAUGAACUGUUGGAGUCAAGAGGCCUAGAUUCUUGUCCUGGUUCUGCCACUAACUGUGUGGCCUUGGGCAAGUCCCUUAUCUUCUCAGAGCUUUAGCUUCCCUUUCCAUAAAAUUGGUGAGUGCCUUCUCACCAGCAGGCUCUUGUCCAGUUCUCCGUCCCUGUCCUCCAACAGGCUCUCUGUGGAGGCCCAGACACCUCUCUUCCUCAUGGGUGACUGCCAGGUGGGGCACAAUCUGCAUCUGUGUCUGGCCCACCACCCACCUCUGAUCUGUGCCACCUUGAUCCUGCUGCUGCUUGGCCUCUCCGGCCUGGGCCUUGGCAGCUUCCUCCACACCCACAGGACUGGCCUGUGCAGCCCUGACAUCCCUCAGGACUGGGUCUCUUUCUUGAGAUUUUUUUGGCCAGCUGACCCUGUGCCCUGUGAAUGGGAUAGUCACAGGAAAGUGGCAAGGGUCUCACGUCGUGGGCUUACUGACCACCUUGAACUUCGCAGAAGGUCCAGACAGGAACAAGACACAGACAUUCCAAACCAAGAUCCUGGGUGGUCAGAUGGGAUUGAAAGGAUCUUCUGCAGGACAGCAGGUCCUCAUCACAGCCAGGGUGACCAGUGAAAAGACCCCAGGAAUCUGCUGUAUUUUAGUGCUGUUCCAGGAAUUCUGCCCUCUAGCCAGCCACCCAUAUCCUGUUCAGAGGAAGGAGCAGGAAAUGCCACCCUAAGCCCUAAGAUGGGUGAGGAUUAUGUCAGGGUCUGGAGCCACAAAGGCCUCGUGCUCACCAAGCUGCUCACCUCGGAGGAACUGGCUCUGUGUGGGUCCAGGCUACUGGUCUUGGGCUAACUUCCUGCUUCUCUUCUGUGGCCUUCUCUGCUGUGUCACUGCUUUGUGCUUCCACCCAUGUCGGGAGUCCCACUGGUCUAGAACCCGGCUCUGAAGGCACUGGCCUACUUCCUGCCUUGUUCUCAAGUUUGAAUCUACUUCUUGGUCUUUGUUUCUGUGUUGGAAGAAAUGUUACAAAAAGUGAAGAGCUGGAAUGUGGGGGAAAUAAAAGGCUUUUUUUUGCCC